rnacentral:rRNA from 1 species
UACGUAGGGACCGAGCGUUGCUCGGAAUUACUGGGCGUAAAGCGCACGUAGGCGGCUUCUUAAGUCGGUGGUGAAAUCCUGGAGCUCAACUCCAGAACUGCCUUCGAUACUGGGAAGCUCGAGUCCGGGAGAGGUGAGUGGAACUGCGAGUGUAGAGGUGAAAUUCGUAGAUAUUCGCAAGAACACCAGUGGCGAAGGCGGCUCACUGGCCCGGUACUGACGCUGAGGUGCGAAAGCGUGGGGAGCAAACAGG